GACGAACGCUGGCGGCGUGCUUAACACAUGCAAGUCGAACGGAAAGGCCCUGCUUUUGUGGGGUGCUCGAGUGGCGAACGGGUGAGUAACACGUGAGUAACCUGCCCUUGACUUUGGGAUAACUUCAGGAAACUGGGGCUAAUACCGGAUAGGAGCUCCUGCUGCAUGGUGGGGGUUGGAAAGUUUCGGCGGUUGGGGAUGGACUCGCGGCUUAUCAGCUUGUUGGUGGGGUAGUGGCUUACCAAGGCUUUGACGGGUAGCCGGCCUGAGAGGGUGACCGGCCACAUUGGGACUGAGAUACGGCCCAGACUCCUACGGGAGGCAGCAGUGGGGAAUAUUGCACAAUGGGCGGAAGCCUGAUGCAGCAACGCCGCGUGCGGGAUGACGGCCUUCGGGUUGUAAACCGCUUUCGCCUGUGACGAAGCGUGAGUGACGGUAAUGGGUAAAGAAGCACCGGCUAACUACGUGCCAGCAGCCGCGGUGAUACGUAGGGCGCGAGCGUUGUCCGGAUUUAUUGGGCGUAAAGGGCUCGUAGGUGGUUGAUCGCGUCGGAAGUGUAAUCUUGGGGCUUAACCCUGAGCGUGCUUUCGAUACGGGUUGACUUGAGGAAGGUAGGGGAGAAUGAAAUUCCUGGUGGAGCGGUGGAAUGCGCAGAUAUCAGGAGGAACACCAGUGGCGAAGGCGGUUCUCUGGGCCUUUCCUGACGCUGAGGAGCGAAAGCGUGGGGAGCGAACAGGCUUAGAUACCCUGGUAGUCCACGCUGUAAACGGUGGGUACUAGGUGUGGGGUCCAUUCCACGGGUUCCGUGCCGUAGCUAACGCUUUAAGUACCCCGCCUGGGGAGUACGGCCGCAAGGCUAAAACUCAAAGGAAUUGACGGGGCCCCGCACAAGCGGCGGAGCAUGCGGAUUAAUUCGAUGCAACGCGUAGAACCUUACCUGGGUUUGACAUGGAUCGGGAGUGCUCAGAGAUGGGUGUGCCUCUUUUGGGGUCGGUUCACAGGUGGUGCAUGGCUGUCGUCAGCUCGUGUCGUGAGAUGUUGGGUUAAGUCCCGCAACGAGCGCAACCCUUGUUCACUGUUGCCAGCACGUUAUGGUGGGGACUCAGUGGAGACCGCCGGGGUCAACUCGGAGGAAGGUGGGGAUGACGUCAAGCCAUCAUGCCCCUUAUGUCCAGGGCUUCACGCAUGCUACAAUGGCUGGUACAGAGAGUGGCGAGCCUGUGAGGGUGAGCGAAUCUCGGAAAGCCGGUCUCAGUUCGGAUUGGGGUCUGCAACUCGACCUCAUGAAGUCGGAGUCGCUAGUAAUCGCAGAUCAGCAACGCUGCGGUGAAUACGUUCCCGGG
rnacentral:rRNA from 1 species